rnacentral:lncRNA from 1 species
UCACUUUAUCAAAAUGUAUAUUCCAACUCCGAAAUAUCUGCUUAAGUCCAUAAUGGACCUCUGAAGCUUACACACCUUAGACUCAUCUGUGGAUAUGAAACCUUCAGGUUGUAUCAUAUACACCUCUUGUUCCAGCUCUCCAUUUAGGAGGCUAUUUUAUAUUCAUUUACCAGAUUUCAUAGUCCAGAUGUGCUGCUAUCGCAAGCAUGAUUCGAAUGGACUUGAGCAUUACCAUUGGAAAAAAAUAUCUCGUCAUAGUCAAUACGAUAAUACUGAUGGUAACCUUUGGCAA